AGUGAACGCUGGCGGUAGGCCUAACACAUGCAAGUCGAACGGCAGCACAGUAAGAGCUUGCUCUUACGGGUGGCGAGUGGCGGACGGGUGAGGAAUACAUCGGAAUCUACUUUUUCGUGGGGGAUAACGUAGGGAAACUUACGCUAAUACCGCAUACGAUCUACGGGUGAAAGCAGGGGAUCUUCGGACCUUUCGCGAUUGAAUGAGCCGAUGUCGGAUUAGCUAGUUGGCGGGGUAAAGGCCCACCAAGGCGACGAUCCGUAGCUGGUCUGAGAGGAUGAUCAGCCACACUGGAACUGAGACACGGUCCAGACUCCUACGGGAGGCAGCAGUGGGGAAUAUUGGACAAUGGGCGCAAGCCUGAUCCAGCCAUACCGCGUGGGUGAAGAAGGUCUUCGGGUUGUAAAGCCCUUUUAUUGGGAAAGAAAAGCAGUAGGUUAAUACCCCGCUGUUCUGACGGUACCCAAAGAGUAAGCACCGGCUAACUACGUG
rnacentral:rRNA from 1 species